rnacentral:rRNA from 1 species
AUGCAAUGGCGCGUGCUAUAAUGCAGUCGAGCGAAUCGAUGGGAGCUUGCUCCCUGAGAUUAGCGGCGGACGGGUGAGUAACACGUGGGCAACCUGCCUAUAAGACUGGGAUAACUUCGGGAAACCGGAGCUAAUACCGGAUACGUUCUUUUCUCGCAUGAGAGAAGAUGGAAAGACGGUUUACGCUGUCACUUAUAGAUGGGCCCGCGGCGCAUUAGCUAGUUGGUGAGGUAAUGGCUCACCAAGGCGACGAUGCGUAGCCGACCUGAGAGGGUGAUCGGCCACACUGGGACUGAGACACGGCCCAGACUCCUACGGGAGGCAGCAGUAGGGAAUCUUCCGCAAUGGACGAAAGUCUGACGGAGCAACGCCGCGUGAACGAAGAAGGCCUUCGGGUCGUAAAGUUCUGUUGUUAGGGAAGAACAAGUACCAGAGUAACUGCUGGUACCUUGACGGUACCUAACCAGAAAGCCACGGCUAACUACGUGCCAGCAGCCGCGGUAAUACGUAGGUGGCAAGCGUUGUCCGGAAUUAUUGGGCGUAAAGCGCGCGCAGGUGGUUCCUUAAGUCUGAUGUGAAAGCCCACGGCUCAACCGUGGAGGGUCAUUGGAAACUGGGGAACUUGAUUGCAGAAGAGGAAAGUGGAAUUCCAAGUGUAGCGGUGAAAUGCGUAGAGAUUUGGAGGAACACCAGUGGCGAAGGCGACUUUCUGGUCUGUAACUGACACUGAGGCGCGAAAGCGUGGGGAGCAAACAGGAUUAGAUACCCUGGUAGUCCACGCCGUAAACGAUGAGUGCUAAGUGUUAGAGGGUUUCCGCCCUUUAGUGCUGCAGCUAACGCAUUAAGCACUCCGCCUGGGGAGUACGGCCGCAAGGCUGAAACUCAUAGGAAUUGACGGGGGCCCGCACAAGCGGUGGAGCAUGUGGGUUUAUUUCGUAGCAACGCGAAGAACCUUACCAGUCGUGACAUCCUCUGACUAGCCCUAGAGAUAGGGCUUUCCCCCUUCGGGGGACAGAGUGACAGGUGGUGCAUGGUUGUCGUCAGCUCGUGUCGUGA